rnacentral:tRNA from 1 species
UAGCUCAGUUGGUAGAGUGCAAGUCUCUUAACCUUAAGGUUGUGGGUUCAAACCCCAU